GCCGGAGUGGCGGAAUUGGUAGACGCAAGGGACUUAAAAUCCCUCGUCGGCAACGAUGUACCGGUUCAAGUCCGGUCUCCGGUACCA
rnacentral:tRNA from 1 species